rnacentral:rRNA from 1 species
AUUGAACGCUGGCGGCAGGCCUAACACAUGCAAUUCGAGCGGAUGAAGGGAGCUUGCUCCUGGAUUCAGCGGCGGACGGGUGAGUAAUGCCUAGGAAUCUGCCUGGUAGUGGGGGAUAACGUCCGGAAACGGGCGCUAAUACCGCAUACGUCCUGAGGGAGAAAGUGGGGGAUCUUCGGACCUCACGCUAUCAGAUGAGCCUAGGUCGGAUUAGCUAGUUGGUGGGGUAAAGGCCUACCAAGGCGACGAUCCGUAACUGGUCUGAGAGGAUGAUCAGUCACACUGGAACUGAGACACGGUCCAGACUCCUACGGGAGGCAGCAGUGGGGAAUAUUGGACAAUGGGCGAAAGCCUGAUCCAGCCAUGCCGCGUGUGUGAAGAAGGUCUUCGGAUUGUAAAGCACUUUAAGUUGGGAGGAAGGGCAGUAAGUUAAUACCUUGCUGUUUUGACGUUACCAACAGAAUAAGCACCGGCUAACUUCGUG